GACGAACGCUGGCGGCGUGCCUAAUACAUGCAAGUCGAACGCUGAAGCGAUGAGCUUGCUCUUCUUGGAUGAGUUGCGCACGGGUGAGUAACGCGUAGGUAACCUGCCUUGUAUCGGGGUAUCACUAUUGGAAACGAUAGCUAAUACCGCAUAACAAUGGAUGACACAUGUCCUUUAUUUGAAAGUGGCAAUUUCUCCACUACAAGAUGGCCCUGCGUUGUAUUAGCUAGUAGGUGAGGUAAUGGCUCACCUAGGCGGCGAUACAUAGCCGACCUGAGAGGGUGGUCGGCCAGCCUGGGACUGAGACACGGCCCAGACGGCGACGGGAGGCAGCAGUAGGGAAUCUUCGGCAAUGGGGGCAAACCUGACCGAGCAACGCCGCGGGAGUGAAGAAGGUUUUCGGAUCGUAAAGCUCUGUUGUAAGUCAAGAACGGGUGUGAGAGUGGAAAGUACACACUGUGACGGUAGCUUACCAGAAAGGGACGGCUAACUACGUG
rnacentral:rRNA from 1 species